rnacentral:pre_miRNA from 1 species
AUUUGAAUUGCUGGGCUGUAAGGUACACAAUAUUCUAUUUUAUAAGAGAAUGACAAACUCUUUUUGAAAGUAGUUGUACUGAAUACACUCCCACCAGCAAU